rnacentral:tRNA from 1 species
AGGUAGCUCAAUGGCGGAGCACUCGGCUGUUAACCGAUAGGCUGUGGGUUCGAGUCCCACCCU